CUAACACUCCCCCUGACGCCCCCCACCACCACCCAUCCACCUCCCUCCCGUCUGGAUACCACCCCUGUAGAUGACAGUUGAGUGGUGCUCAGAGAAGGACCCUCUGCGCCCCCUUGGUGAGCAGGGAAGAGAGUGUGCCAGGGAGAGGAGCAGAGAGAACCAUUUGUCUGCCUGUCUCACACAGUACAGUCAUCACCCAUUGGACUAGUAGCUGCACAGUGGUCCACUGACACAGAGCCCAUCAUAUUCCCAACAGCAUUCAGGGAGUGGUGGAGUGACUCCUACUUUUGUCAAGUGUCUCCACGACGUCAGCACGGUCAAGGGUCAGUUGGUGGUUCUAGAGUGCCGUAUUCGUGGAACGCCACCA